rnacentral:rRNA from 1 species
CGGGGUGAGUAACGCGUGGAUAACCUGCCUCACACAGGGGAGUAACAGUUAGAAAUGACUGCUAAUACCGCAUAAGCGCACAGUACCGCAUGGUACAGUGUGAAAAACUCCGGUGGUGUGAGAUGGAUCCGCGUCUGAUUAGGUAGUUGGUGGGGUAACGGCCCACCAAGCCGACGAUCAGUAGCCGACCUGAGAGGGUGACCGGCCACAUUGGGACUGAGACACGGCCCAA